rfam:Cavia porcellus supercont2_12 genomic scaffold, whole genome shotgun sequence.
GGGGAUUUAGCUCAGCGGCAUAAGCGCCUGCCUUGUAAGCAGGCAGUCGUGGUUCGAUCCCUAGUACCGA